AAAGCAGGAGGAGCAGUCGCGCAUUAGAUUGAUGUGAGGAAAGUCCGAGCUCCACAGAAUCACGGCGCCCGGUAACACCGGGGCGGAGAGAUCCGACGGAAAGUGCAGCAGAAACAAACCGCCCGCUUUUGCGGGUAAGGGUGAAAUCGUAGUGUAAGAGACUACGCAUGCGGCUAGUAAUAGUCGUAUGGGGUAAACCCCGCCGGGAGCAAGGCCAAAUAGGGGAAGAGGAGUUGAUUCGCUCCAUUCGAUUCCCGGGUAGGCUGCAUGAGCUGUCAGGUAACUGCCAGCCAAGAUAAAUGACUGUUGUCCGCAUUGCGGAAUACAGAACUCGGCUUAUACUCCUGCAUUCCAC
rnacentral:RNase_P_RNA from 1 species